UUGGGUUAAGAAAAUAAUGAUGGAAAAGAGGGUAAUGGAAAUAGUUUUUUGUGUAGUUGAGUCUAACUCUUGGCAGGUACCAGGUCUCAGGGAUCUCAUAGUGCACAUGGUUUUUAUUAGGUGAUUUGGGACUGACGACAGGGAGUUAGACAAGAUGACUAACAAAAGGGGAAUUACGAGAUGAUUGAAAUGGGUGUUAGUUCAUAUAAAUGGGCAUUCGGGACCAAGUGGUAUAAGCAUGGUAUGAGAUGUGUAGGUCUGCUUGUUCAGUUAUAUGAAUUAACGGGAGUAGAUGAAGAGCAUUCGUUCAUGCAUUAUUAUUAAUAAUGUGAUAUUUGGUUGUAUGAUUGCAUGUCAUUUAAUUUAGUUAUAUCAAUCUACUGUGGUAAGGUCUCAUGUCCCCUACUAAGUGGUGGUUGCUCAUCC
rnacentral:lncRNA from 1 species